rnacentral:rRNA from 1 species
UUGGAGGGCAAGUCUGGUGCCAGCAGCCGCGGUAAUUCCAGCUCCAAUGGCGUAUAUUAAAGUUGUUGCAGUUAAAAAGCUCGUAGUUGAAUUUCGGGGUUAGUAGGUUGGUCAUGCCUCUGGUAUGUACUGGUCUCACUGAUUCCUCCUUCCUGAUGAGCCGUAAUGCCAUUAAUUUGGUGUUGCGGGGAAUUUGGACUGUUACUUUGAAAAAAUUAGAGUGUUUAAAGCAAGCUAACGCUUGAAUACAUUAGCAUGGAAUAAUGAAAUAGGACGUUCGAUCCUAUUUUGUUGGUUUCUAGGAUUGACGUAAUGAUUAAUAGGGAUAGUUGGGGGCAUUAGUAUUCAAUUGUCAGAGGUGAAAUUCUUGGAUUUAUUGAAGACUAACUACUGCGAAAGCAUUUGCCAAGGAUGUUUUCAUUAAUCAAGAACGAAAGUUAGGGGAUCGAAGACGAUCAGAUACCGUCGUAGUCUUAACCAUAAACUAUGCCGACUAGGGAUCGGAUGAUGUUAAUUUUUUAAUGACUCAUUCGGCGCCUUACGGGAAAC